rnacentral:rRNA from 1 species
AUUGAACGCUGGCGGCAGGCCUAACACAUGCAAGUCGAACGAGUGGCGGACGGGUGAGUAAUGUCUGGGAAACUGCCUGAUGGAGGGGGAUAACUACUGGAAAGGGUAGCUAAUACCGCAUACCAUUAGAGGGGACGAGAUGGGAUUAGCUAGUUGGUGGGGUAAAGGCUCACCAAGGCGACGCUCCCUAGCUGGUCUGAGAGGAAGACCAGCCACCCUGGAACUGAGACACGGUCCAGACUCCUACGGGAGGCAGCAGUGGGGAAUCUUGCACAAUGGGCGCAACCCUGAUCCAGCCAUCCCGCGUGUAUGAUGAAGGCCUUCGGGUUGUAAAGUACUUUCAGCGGGGAAGCGUUACCCGCAGAAUAAGCCCCGGCUAACUCCGUGCCAGCAGCCGCGGUAAUUC